CCGGCUCGGUCCAUGCUUAGCUGUGGUUUUAGGCUUAGUCCCUGGUUCAGGUGUGAGCUUGGCUCCAGGCUUAGAGACAGGUUUCUUAGUUGGUUUCACUGUUUUGGCCACUGGUUUUGGUGUGGGCUUGGAUUUCACCUUGGUACCAGGUUUAAGGGUUGGUUUAGCCUUGGUACCAGGUUUAGGGGUUGGUUUAGCCUUGGUACCAGGUUUAGGGGUUGGUUUAGCCUUGGUACCAGGUUUAGGGGUUGGUUUAGCCUUGGUACCAGGCUUAGGGGUUGGUUUAGCCUUGAUACCAGGUUUAGGUAUGGGUCUGACUCCAGGCUUGGCUGUAGGCUUACGUGGUGGAGGCUUCACU